GACUCUCACAGAAGGAGGAGGAGGAUGCUUUUAUUGAAGAACAGCACCUGGAAGAAGAGAACCUGUUGGAGAUAGAGAGGCAAAAAUUACAUGAGGCGUGGUUGCUUCGGGAGCAGAGGGCACAAGAAGAAUUCAGAAGAAAGAAGGAAAAGGAAGAGGCAGCUAGAAAACGGCAGGAAGAACAAGAGGUAUGAUAUUAAUCAGAUGGCCAGUUAACUAAUUAGUUAACCAAAAUAACUCUCAGUAAGAGUUACAGAUCUUGAACUUAAAAAAAAAUGGGUAGUACCCAUUUUACCAGUGGUAAAGUUUUUCAUUUAUCUGCCCCAUGUGUUCAGUGUUUUUAAAAAGCGAGUGACAAGAAUUACCGUUCCUUCUCUUUCUUUUUUCCGGUAAAGAGAAAGUUAAAGGAAGAAUGGGAAGAGCAGCAGAGAAAAGAGAGAGAAGAGGAGGAACAGAAGCUACAGGAGAAGAGAGAAAGAGAGGUGAUUCCUGUCACAGGAGGAUAAACGCACUGCAUCGCACAGCUCAUCAUUCCUUGACUGAUUCCUCAGGAUGUAUCUUUUCUAGCAUAUUCCCAAGUUUGAAUAGCAUACAAGUGGGUAGUUAUCAUGGAGAAGAAUGCAUUUGUUUAUACCCUAGUCAUGAUAGGGUAGAAGCAGCCUCCACAAACUUUGUUUUUUUGUGUCUCAGGUCAUCAGUUAAUUCCAAUGCGGAUUUUUUUUUUUAAAGAUUUAUUCAUUUUAGAGAGAGAGAGAGAGAGAGCACAUAUGAGAGAGAGUACGUGAGCAAGGGAAGAGGUAGAGGGAGAGAAUCCUUAAGCAGACUGCCUGUUGAGCAUGGAGCCUGACACAGGGCUCGAUCCCAUGACCCAUGAGAUCAUGACCUGAGCCAAAAAGGAGAGCUGGACGCUUAACCGACUGAGCCACCCAGGCGCCUCUCCAGUGUGAAUUUUUAACACCCUCAUUUGAGCAUUGCGUUACAGAUGAGGCGAGACCAUGCUAGCUUUUUAGGGGGCAGGGAAGUUGUUGGGAGCUUGUCAUUUUUUUUUUUAUAGAGUAAUUGAUGCCCAUUUUAACAGUAAAAUGUUCUCAAUUGAGGUCUUUCUGGCAUCAGAGAAAAGCGAAGGCUUCUUUUAAAAAAGCUAAGGCUUUUGUUUCAAAGGAAGUCAGGUGAGACAUUAUGGAGAGGCAGGUAAAAUGAGGUAGGUUGUAAGCAUGUUUCUGCUGUGCGCUAGAUACUUUUCUAGUAGAUGGAGAUAGAGCAGUGAAAAACACAGUCCCUGCUCUCCUUGAGUUUUUUGGGUGGGGGAGCCAGAUGAUAAAUAAGCAAAACAGAUAAUUUUAAGUGCUAUGAGAUAAUGUUAAGUGCUAUAAAGAAAUACAAAGAGUCGUGUGAUAGUGAUUGGGGUAGGGAUAUAGUUCAGGGAAGACUUGUCCAAGGAGCUGAUGUUUGAGCUGAUACCUUAGUACAGAGAUCUUGGGGAGAAGGGGUCCAGGCAGAGGGAAGAGACCUGAGAGUGGAGCUGAAAAGAUGUCAGGGUGCCUGGAUCUUGGAGACCAAAGGAGAGAGCAGUGGGGACGUUCAGGAAUGUAGGCAGGGUCAGAUCAUGUAAGGCCUCCUGGACCAGAAGGAGGAGUUUGGGUUUUAUGUUAAGUGUCAUGGGAAGCCACUGCAGGGUUUUUAAGCAGGGUUUGACUUCAUUUAAUUUACAUCUAUACCUUUACCAGAUCAUUCUAACUUUUGUAUAAAGAAGGGGGACGGACGGUAGAGAGUGGGGAGUAGUCACCAAGGAGACAGGAGUGAAAAUAGAAUGACCAGUUAGAAGGCCACUGUUCCAGAUAGGACAUGAUGGUGGCUUAGAUGAGAGGAGUCCUUAGUAAGGAUAAGUAUACCGAGGUGUGGGGUGUGUGGAGGCAGAGGCAGUGGGACUCUGGUUUGUAGACUGAAUGGACAGGGAGGGGAAGGGAAAGGAGAGGAAUUCCGGUUCUACUUUGUAGGUUGUUGGUCCGAACAAGCGGGCAAAUGAAUGGCAGCGUUGGUUAGUGAGAUGGGGGGCGUUCAGGUGGGUGGGGGUGAAGAAGAACCAGGGCUGUGUGGUGAGCACGUUAAGUUAGCCAGGACCCCACGUGACUGGGUAGCGUUCUCAAGUAAGCAGCUAGACACAGGAGUCUUUCAUGUAAUGCUUUAAGGGGCUAGGGAAGAGAAGUCUGUCAAGAAUAAUUUAAAACUUGUUUAAAUGACAGUGAGCUUAGAAUUUACUGGUAUAUUGCAAGACUUCUUUGCCUUACCGAAAUGUUUGAGAUUUUUCAUCAACCUGAAUUUCUACUGUUCAUGUCAUAAUUUAACAUCUGUUAAGUGUUGAUGAUGUUGGAUCUAAACAUUGCAUUAUAUAAUAAUUCACUGAUACUAUCUCUCUCAUCUUGAAAGUUAGAAUGUGGUAUAUAUGAUCAAAUAUGCUAAAUAUUACUGUUACUGAAACUAUUAUAAGACUGUGUUUUGCAAUGGGAGCUAAUAAAUGUCCUAUUUGAAUAAACGUUCUCA
ensembl:lncRNA